ensembl:lncRNA
GAUGCUUUUGUGCUACAGCUCGGUGGAACUACACUUUCUAUUUGUGUGUGAUGGAAAUUGGCUAAAAGUAAGAGAUGGACCUUCCUCCUCUCCUACCUGUCCCAAACCAGGAUACUUCUCUGAGGAGCUUUGGAGGAGUGUGAAGUCCCAGUGCAGAAGAGACAAAUAUGGUUUUCACACGGGAUUGUGCAGCUGCUGUUCCCAUCAGCUGUCCCAGGUAGCAGCCUCUACAUCAGUUAAGAACAUAGAAUCAUUAAGGUUGGAAAAGACCUCUAAAAUGAUCUAGUCCAACUGCCAAUCCAUCCCCACUGUGCCCACUAACCGUGUCCUUCAGUGCCACAUCUACACAUCUCUUGAACACCU